CAUCUUGAAGGUAAAAAAAACACGUCCUUUGUGAGCGGCUCUUUACUCAUUCUGUGCUGCUUUUUCUUUGAGCAAUUUGUGAAGGACAUUUUGAUUUGGAAACAAAAAAAGAAGGAAAACCAAGGAAGUGUGUUGCUACAAAUUAUUCAUAAAAACCUAUUGUUGGUCCCAGGGCCAAGGGAGAUGAAGAGGAACACCAGGGCCCUUAAUUUAUACAGUGCAGAUUGACCUCCAAAGAUGAUCCGGCCCUCGUUGUUCCCCUUACAGUUUGCAAAACAUUAAUGUGAAAUUAAGAAUUGAUCUUCGUGACACAAAUGAAUUCUAGUUUAUGUUUGAGCCAAGCAAGAUUUAUUUUAAAAAUGGAAAUAGCCAUGGCGUUGCGCCAGCAGUUUAAUCCACGUGCUGAAAACGGUUCCAAGAUAUUGUUUAUGGCAGUGCGUCAUCCCAGACUCUGGGAAUGAUCUUUCCAUCUGCCGUAGGCUGUGUAUCAAAUGUCAGUGAGCAUUGUGCAUUUCCAUCUCCAUAAAGACUUGUAUUUGAGAGAUGUUUGAUGAUCGCCCUCCAAUUGAUGUGUACGGUGUUCUGCGUAUGUUUAAAGCACAAUAUUCUGUAAAUGCCGGUUUGAGACAUGACAUGGUCUCAAUCCAGGACACAGGUUUGAAAAGCACAAGGCACAGUCGACUCUGUCAUCUUAGAAAUAUAGUGUUUUAAUGGGUUUAAAUCAGGGCUUAGUGUUAGUCUGCUGUGAAAACUGAAAUGCUCCAAAAUUUGUAAAGACAUUAGUUGUUAUUUGUCGAUUUGCCUCAGUGUCCUGUAAUAAAAGUGUCAUGUUAUGAA